UACAGAGGGGGCAAGCGUUGUUCGGAAUUACUGGGCGUAAAGGGCGCGUAGGCGGCCUUCUAAGUCGAACGUGAAAUCCCCGGGGCUCAACCGGGGAACUGCGUCUGAUACUGGGCGGCUUGAAUUCGGGAGAGGGAUGCGGAAUUCCAGGUGUAGCGGUGAAAUGCGUAGAUAUCUGGAGGAACACCGGUGGCGAAGGCGGCAUCCUGGACCGAGAUUGACGCUGAGGCGCGAAAGCCAGGGGAGCAAACGGG
rnacentral:rRNA from 1 species